CGGGUCAAGGAGAAGAAAGAAAAGAAGCUUUUGGUAUACAUUAUUUGACAAUUGUAGCCCAUCGAAGAGGUUGAUUUGUUUGAUGAGUGUAAAGGCAGAGUUAUAUUUAUAAUUGGAUACACAAAAAUCACCCGCAGGGUUUUGGCAACCUUUUACUGUUAUCAUCAGUGAGCUGAGUCCAUAUUGAUUCUGAUUGAAAGUCACAGGAAUAAACACACAGUCACAAAAAAAUAGCUCAACAAUGGGAAGGAGUAAAAAAACGAGAACUUUCUUUGGUGUCUUGCCACGCGACUUUAACAAGACACACGGCUUGAUCAAGAUGGCGUGAUAUAUUAACAUAUCAAACCGAAGAAACAUGAAAAUCCAAAGUAAAAUAAUAAUCGUAAAGAUAAUCGUGGCUAUACAAGUCAGAUUAGACUUAUACUUGUAAGUUUGGUUUCAUCACUUGACUUCAUGAUCAAUGGACUUCAACAAUAGGCUGCUUUGUGUAUAAUAAAAAGAAAUGAAUAUCAAAUGAUGGACAGCCAUUAUUUGGAAAUAAGUACAAUUACUCGGUUUCAUAGUUUAAAUUAAUUAUCAAUAAAAAGGAUUAAUUGAAUAUCUUGCAAACAGUUUCCCAUUAACCAAUUUGAACAAGGCUCAGUAACCAAUUCAUUUACCGCUAGAUGGGUCAACAGUCUAUUGUUUUAAGUGUUUUUUUUCUCGGUAAUUUUUUUGUUUUUAUUUAAUUUAAUUUAAUUAAGAUCGAAGUAUCUUCAUUUUAUUGUGAAUCAGGUAAAAUAUGAAUAAUCUGUGUUUCCAGGAAUUGCAUCCAAUAGUCAAGUUUUUCCAUUUCUUCUGUGAUAAGGUAACUGAAGCUGUACAACAAUAACAAUAAGAAUAUUUUAAAAUGUUUAACCGAUGAGCUAAAAAAUUAGGAAAAUCAAAAAGGUCUACUAAAGUAAAUAAAAUAAAAUAGUAAAUUAAAUGUUAUUACAUGUAAUCAAGUAACCCAUGGAUGGUCCACAAUUGGAAAUUAUUGUCUCUCAAUCAUUAAAUCUACCUGACCAAGUGAUAUAACAUGUUAUCAUAAUACACAUCUUUGGAUCUUGGAAGUCAUCCUCUCCUGAACUUGAUUAAACUUCAUUUCUGAUUGAAGACCCAGAAUCUAAGGUAAAAUGAUGUACCGAAAAAUAUGAGAUGGAAAUAAUUAUCCUGAAAGAGUCUAUUCUUGAUUUCGAUUAGAAUCUAUGUUCAAUUUAAUUUUUCUUGAAUAAUUCUUUCUAAUAACUGUAACUCUAAAUCCAAGCAAUGUCCUUAUUAGCUUUUGGUAACCAUCAGCUGAAGCAGUUUGUUUUUUCUUCUUGCUCUUUUAUAUUGUUUGAUUUAUCUCAUUAUUAAUUCAAUUUAAAAUUAGUGUUAAUUUCCCUAUCAUCAUCUUGAUCAUAAUUUAUUGGGCAAGUUAUCUUCAUCCAUUAAUGUAUUCCAUUGUUUGGUGAAAAUUUUCAUAAUUCCUGAGGAUUAGCAAAGUUGAUCUCAUUUAAAAAAAGAUAACUUCAUAGAGAGCAUCAUCUUUACCUCUCUCAGAAAAGGAGGAUAACAAGAUGAUAGUGAAGAUAAAAUAAAAAUGGAUUUCAAUGGUGGCUGCUUAAAAGGAGAUGUUGAAAGAUAAACUACUGGGCUUGGUAAUGCAACCUGUAAUAGGUUAAUACAACAAUAAUGUUUACCAAAGUAAGAAGACUCACCCGGGCCUGGUGAAAAGCUGUGAAAACCGCUCAUGUAAACAAAAAUCAGUUAACUUCUGGUCAGUCAGUUUUAAACUUACAUUGAUUGAUGAUGUUUUCUUUCUCUACACGUUUGAUAGGUAAACAAUAUAAGCCCUGAAAAAUUUAAUCGAGGGAGAUUGAAAAGACUAUCAUAUUCUUUGUUCGACAACCACAAGCUUUACUUAAUGGUCAAGUUAAUCCGGAAAGAUACAAACAGAAGAGUCAACAAAACACAAAUUCUGAGAAAUUUUGGUUACUUUUGGAUUGGAUCAGGAGAAUCAUGAUGAUGCAGAAAUCAACAAGCAAGGUGUAAAGGCUUACAUGUUAAACUGGUGUUUUUUCAAACAUAUUUUACUCUUAUCUUCACCAUUACCACCACCUUAUGCCCUUACCAGGCAACGAUACUCAGCGCAAGCCUUAUAACCUGUUUGCAUCUCUAAACUUGAAAUGGAAUUGCCUGAUAUUUCAGUAUCAAGUAUAUCACCCAAGCAUAUAGGAUGAAAUAAUCAUCUUUAUACUCUGCUUCUUCACCCUGAGAUAAUAUUCACCCAAAGCUAUUCAAAGAUUCCACUGGCAAGUAGAGUGUACAUUUGGAAGGAGGGGAAAAAAGCAUGAGAAUCAUAAUGGACAAUGUUGUUUAUUCAAAUACAAAUUUCCUGCUGUGAGGCCACACGUAAGGAAAACACGACGAGUUAACACGAACUUAGCUUUAUUAACGAGAACAGUAAUCGCGUGUCUAUUGAUGAAUACCGUAAUAGAAGAGGUAAAAUGUAACAAAUGAUCACAUUAUCAUCAUUGUUGAAAGUUCAAUGUAACACUGUGCGUUCAUUAAGCUGAUCAAGUUGACAAUAUAAUUGUGUCAAUGCAACCUUCAUGCCUUGAUUCCAUUGAAGAGUUAAUUAAUAUGUCUUUCUCUGAAAAUCUCUGAAAAGUGCAUACAGCUUAUUAUUAAAUUAAUCUACUAUUGUGCUAUUACAUUCAACUGAAAGCUUGGUCAAAGUAUCAAUUUGAUGGUAAAUAUUAUUAGAAAAAAAUGGACCCAUAAAUAGUA